GAUGAAGAACGUAGCGAAAUGCGAUAAGUAAUGUGAAUUGCAGAUUUCAGUGAAUCAUCGAAUCUUUGAACGCACAUUGCGCCCCCUGGUAUUCCGGGGGGCAUGCCUGUUCGAGCGUCAUUUCACCACUCAAGCCUCGCUUGGUAUUGGGCAACGCGGUCCGCCGCGUGCCUCAAAUCGACCGGCUGGGUCUUCUGUCCCCUAAGCGUUGUGGAAACUUUCGCUAAAGGGUGUUCGGGAGGCUACGCCGUAAAACAACCCCAUUUCUAAGGUUGACCUCGGAUCAGGUAGGGAUACCCGCUGAACUUAAGCAUAUCAAUAAGCGGAGGA
rnacentral:misc_RNA from 1 species